rnacentral:rRNA from 1 species
GCUUGCUACCUGACCUAGCGGCGGACGGGUGAGUAAUGCUUAGGAAUCUGCCUAUUAGUGGGGGACAACAUUCCGAAAGGAAUGCUAAUACCGCAUACGCCCUACGGGGGAAAGCAGGGGAUCUUCGGACCUUGCGCUAAUAGAUGAGCCUAAGUCAGAUUAGCUAGUUGGUGGGGUAAAGGCCUACCAAGGCGACGAUCUGUAGCGGGUCUGAGAGGAUGAUCCGCCACACUGGGACUGAGACACGGCCCAGACUCCUACGGGAGGCAGCAGUGGGGAAUAUUGGACAAUGGGCGAAAGCCUGAUCCAGCCAUGCCGCGUGUGUGAAGAAGGCCUUUUGGUUGUAAAGCACUUUAAGCGAGGAGGAGGCUACUUGGAUUAAUACUCUAGGAUAGUGGACGUUACUCGCAGAAUAAGCACCGGCUAACUCUGUGCCAGCAGCCGCGGUAAUACAGAGGGUGCGAGCGUUAAUCGGAUUUACUGGGCGUAAAGCGUGCGUAGGCGGCUUUUUAAGUCGGAUGUGAAAUCCCUGAGCUUAACUUAGGAAUUGCAUUCGAUACUGGGAAGCUAGAGUAUGGGAGAGGAUGGUAGGAUUCCAGGUGUAGCGGUGAAAUGCGUAGAGAUCUGGAGGAAUACCGAUGGCGAAGGCAGCCAUCUGGCCUAAUACUGACGCUGAGGUACGAAAGCAUGGGGAGCAAACAGGAUUAGAUACCCUGGUAGUCCAUGCCGUAAACGAUGUCUACUAGCCGUUGGGGCCUUUGAGGCUUUAGUGGCGCAGCUAACGCGAUAAGUAGACCGCCUGGGGAGUACGGUCGCAAGACUAAAACUCAAAUGAAUUGACGGGGGCCCGCACAAGCGGUGGAGCAUGUGGUUUAAUUCGAUGCAACGCGAAGAACCUUACCUGGUCUUGACAUAGUAAGAACUUUCCAGAGAUGGAUUGGUGCCUUCGGGAACUUACAUACAGGUGCUGCAUGGCUGUCGUCAGCUCGUGUCGUGAGAUGUUGGGUUAAGUCCCGCAACGAGCGCAACCCUUUUCCUUAUUUGCCAGCGGGUUAAGCCGGGAACUUUAAGGAUACUGCCAGUGACAAACUGGAGGAAGGCGGGGACGACGUCAAGUCAUCAUGGCCCUUACGACCAGGGCUACACACGUGCUACAAUGGUCGGUACAAAGGGUUGCUACCUAGCGAUAGGAUGCUAAUCUCAAAAAGCCGAUCGUAGUCCGGAUUGGAGUCUGCAACUCGAC